rnacentral:rRNA from 1 species
UACGAAGGGGGCUAGCGUUGCUCGGAAUUACUGGGCGUAAAGGGCGCGUAGGCUGCUCGCUAAGUCGGGUGUGAAAACUCUGGGCUCAACCCAGAGCCUGCAUUCGAAACUGACGAGCUAGAGUUCUGGAGGGGAAAGCGGAAUUCCUGGUGUAGCGGUGAAAUGCGUAGAUAUCAGGAGGAACACCGGUGGCGAAGGCGGCUUUCUGGACAGAAACUGACGCUGAGGCGCGAAAGCUAGGGGAGCAAACAGG